rfam:Lactobacillus coleohominis DSM 14060 Scaffold359, whole genome shotgun sequence.
AUAUCUAAUCGCAAGCGGAUUAGUAGUUACUAUUAAUUAUUCAGAGACCACAUGGGGCUGUAAAUGUGGAAUUAAUCGUAAUGAACUCACCGCAUGAAUGCUCAAUGCUGAAAUUAAGUAGGCAGCGACGUUUUCCGCGUUAAGGAAAUGAAGCGCUACAUUAAUUGUAGAAUACGGGUGGUACCGCGGAAAAGUUCGUCCUGUAG